UGAGCAAUCUGCCCUUCUCUUUGGAAUAAGCGUUGGAAACGACGUCUAAUGCCGAAUACGACCUCCUUUCGCAUGAUCGGAGGUGGAAAGCUCCGGCGGAGAAGGAUGAGCUCGCGGCCUAUCAGCUAGUUGGUGUGGGUAAUGGCCCACCAAGGCGACGACGGGUAGCUGGUCUGAGAGGAUGGCCAGCCACACGUGGGACUGAGACACCGGCCCAGACCUGUACGGGAG
rnacentral:rRNA from 1 species